rnacentral:snoRNA from 1 species
UGGUCAUUACCAAGGCUUUGAGAAUGCAGUUUCUCAUUUGCUGUGGGCAUGACCAUAAAAAAAUUUUCUCAUUAGGUUUUCUUCUUUUUUUUGCUAGUUUGCUAGCAUUCAGCCUAUUGGGAACAUUU